rnacentral:rRNA from 1 species
CCUACGGGGGGCUGCAGUGGGGAAUAUUGGACAAUGGGGGGAACCCUGAUCCAACCAUGCCGCGUGUGUGAAGAAGGCCCUCGGGUUGGAAAGCACUUUCAGUGAGGAAGAACGCCUGGUGGUUAAUACCCAUCAGGAAAGACAUCACUCACAGAAGAAGCACCGGCUAACUCCGUGCCAGCAGCCGCGGUAAUACGGAGGGUGCGAGCGUUAAUCGGAAUUACUGGGCGUAAAGCGCGCGUAGGUGGCUUGAUAAGCCGGUUGUGAAAGCCCCGGGCUCAACCUGGGAACGGCAUCCGGAACUGUCAAGCUAGAGUGCAGGAGAGGAAGGUAGAAUUCCCGGUGUAGCGGUGAAAUGCGUAGAGAUCGGGAGGAAUACCAGUGGCGAAGGCGGCCUUCUGGACUGACACUGACACUGAGGUGCGAAAGCGUGGGUAGCAAACAGGAUUAGAUACCCUUGUAGUC